CCUACGGGAGGCUGCAGUGGGGAAUAUUGGGCAAUGGGCGCAAGCCUGACCCAGCAACGCCGCGUGAAGGAAGAAGGCCCUCGGGUUGUAAACUUCUUUUAUUCGGGACGAAAAAAAUGACGGUACCGAAUGAAUAAGCCACGGACAACUACGCGCCAGCAGCCGUGGUACUACGUAGGUGGGAAGUGUUAUGCGGUUUUACUGUGUGUAAAGGGCGUGAAGGCGGGAGAGCACGUCAGACGUGAAAUUCCAGGGCUCAACCCUGGUACUGCGUUUGAUACUGUUCUUCUUGAGUGCUGGAGGGGCAGGCGGAAUUCCGUGUGUAGCGGUGAAAUGCGUAGAUAUACGGAGGAACACCAGUGGCGAAGGCGGCCUGCUGGACAUUAACUGACGCUGAGGCGCGAAAGCGUGGGGAGCAAACAGGAUUAGAUACCCGAGUAGUC
rnacentral:rRNA from 1 species